rnacentral:rRNA from 1 species
AACGAACGCUGGCGGCAGGCCUAACACAUGCAAGUCGAGCGGACCUUUCGGGGUCAGCGGCGGACGGGUGAGUAACGCGUGGGAAUAUGCCCUUCUCUACGGAAUAGUCCUGGGAAACUGGGGGUAAUACCGUAUACGCCCCUUGGGGGAAAGAUUUAUCGGGGAAGGAUUAGCCCGCGUUGGAUUAGGUAGUUGGUGGGGUAAUGGCCUACCAAGCCGACGAUCCAUAGCUGGUUUGAGAGGAUGAUCAGCCACACUGGGACUGAGACACGGCCCAGACUCCUACGGGAGGCAGCAGUGGGGAAUCUUAGACAAUGGGGGCAACCCUGAUCUAGCCAUGCCGCGUGAGUGAUGAAGGCCUUAGGGUUGUAAAGCUCUUUCAGCUGGGAAGAUAAUGACGGUACCAGCAGAAGAAGCCCCGGCUAACUCCGUG